rnacentral:lncRNA from 1 species
GUUCAGAUCCCGUUGGAUCUGCAUGAAAGAGUUGGCGUUGUGAUCUCCUUCUUUGAUAUCUAGAAGAAGAGAUCUAGAUCCAAGGAUGAGGAGUGAGAUCUGCAAGGUGCUAGUAUGCCAAUGAUCUUGAUACUUCAAUCAGAUAUCUCCAUAUGGAUACCAGCAGAGGUCAGGUGCAUGCGCUGCUACGAUCAGAAUCUGAGACAUCCAUAGGAUUCGAGAUAUGGAGAUCUGAUCUCCAACUUAUUUUUGCUAACGAUUACUUUUUUCUCAAAUUUUAGAUCAUGGUUGA